rnacentral:rRNA from 1 species
CCCGCACAAGCAGCGAGGCAUGUGGUUUAAUUCGAUGCUACACGAAGAACCUUACCAGGUCUUGACAUCCCUGACAACCCGAGAGAUCGGGCGUUCCCCUUCGGGGGGACAGGGUGACAGGUGGUGCAUGGUUGUCGUCAGCUCGUGUCGUGAGAUGUUGGGUUAAGUCCCGCAACGAGCGCAACCCUCGACCUUAGUUGCCAGCGAGUCAAGUCGGGCACUCUAAGGUGACUGCCGGCUAAAAGUCGGAGGAAGUGGGGAUGACGUCAAAUCAUCAUGCCCCUUAUGACCUGGGCUACACACGUGCUACAAUGGGCGGUACAAAGGGUCGCGAACCCGCGAGGGGGAGCCAAUCCCAAAAAGCCGCUCUCAGUUCGGAUUGCAGGCUGCAACUCGCCUGCAUGAAGCCGGAAUCGCUAGUAAUCGCGGAUCAGCAUGCCGCGGUCGAAUACGUUCCCGGGCCUU